GGGAUGUGCGUGAGGAAGGAGGGACGCCCGGUGAUCACUCGGGAGACCACCCUUUAGAGGGCGGGGGACCCGGAAGGGUUUCUUUGCGGGGAUGGUGGACCACUCCGCUGGAGAGUGGUGUUGAGGUUUGGGGACCAGAUCACUCGGGGGUGGGGAGCAGACCGUGGGGGCACAGCCCUCUGAAGAAAUGAGCUGAACCAAGAAGAGGAUGGGGGAAAGGAAGCGGGCCACCGGGGCUCCCUUUCCCGUGGCUGAGGGAGAGACGCUGGACCUGACACAAACUAGUGCCGCCCCCCCCCAGCCACCACAGGGGUGGGGCAGAGGCAGGGACCAGAGAAGACCGGCUUCCACGCCUCACCAGUAUAUUCACUCUCACUGGGCCCACCCUGUGCUCCACUGGCAGUCGGUGGGGAUGGCCUCUGACGGGACUACCAGCAGGAUGUCAAGAGAGCCAGGCAGAGGACGAGGUAAUGGUACCUGAGUUUAAAGGCGUGUGACGGUUCAAUUCUAUUCUCAUACCUGUCAGCAGAUUUCUGCGGCCUUUGUUUCACCUGAGAUAAGGUCUACCCGCUCCCUUUUUUUGGCCCUUUGUGAAUGAGAGAACCACGGGAUGGGACGCAGCUCAACACUGACUUCUUUCCGGAAAACCCCUCCGCAUUAAACUAAUGCUUAAUCCGAAUUAGAGCCCAUCCAAGGCAUCGAAGCGCCGCUCCUUACUUGCUAAAGCAGGAUCUCUCUUGCCCUUUCAAACAAGCAAAGGAUUUCAAUGAGACCUCCCAGGACAGGGAGGGGAACGGGGUCUCGGCUUAAAUCUCGCCUAGAGAUGCCUUCUCGAACCUCCCAGUUCAAGUAGCUCCACUUCUCGUCUCCACCAAGUUACCCGGUUUUAUUUUCCUCGUGACUCUCAGAACAUUUUCCUGUUAAUAUAUGUGUUUGUUGAUUAUCUGA